UAAACCCAAAAGCUGAAACACAUGACGCUCAAAAUAACAAACUUCGAACCUUCUGAAUUUCGUGCUCCAAAAAUUAGAAUAAAUACCACCUGGACAGAGAAAGGGGAGAAAAGAAAUACGUUAAACAUUCUCUGCUUUGCUUUCGUGGUUCUGACCACUACUCUAACAUGUUUAGCCUCCUACGACGUUCGGUGGGGCUGACUGUGGGGCGAUUGUAUUUCAAGAGGCACGAGCAUGAUGACGUGAUUCGUCCAAUGAAGUCAGUUGCAGAAGAGUUGGAGAAACAAGAGGAAGAGAAAAAGAAAAGCUUGGAGGAAUCAAAAAAGGUAUGGAAGGACAUUGCAGAGAAUGAAAUGCCGAAGUUAGACAAGACGAGUAGGGAAUAUUAUAAGAAGAAGCAUGUUCCAUCGGAGGAGAAAAAGAAAAGCUUGGAGGAAGGAAAAAAGGUAUGGAAGGACAUAAUAGAGAACAANNN
rnacentral:lncRNA from 1 species